rnacentral:rRNA from 1 species
UAGGGAAUAUUGGUCAAUGGAUGCAAGUCUGAACCAGCCAUGCCGCGUGCAGGAAGAAGGCCUUCUGGGUUGUAAACUGCUUUUGUCAGGGGAUAAAAUGAGCGUGCGCGCUUAAUUGAAGGUACCUGGCGAAUAAGCCACGGCUAACUACGUGCCAGCAGCCGCGGUAAUACGUAGGUGGCAAGCGUUGUCCGGAUUUAUUGGGUUUAAAGGGUGCGUAGGCGGCCUUUUAAGUCAGUGCUGAAAUACUCUAGCUUAACUAGAGGGGUGGCAUUGAUACUGAAAGGCUUGAGUGAAGUCGAAGUAGGCGGAAUUGACGGUGUAGCGGUGAAAUGCUUAGAUAUCGUCAAGAACACCGAUAGUGAAGACAGCUUACUAGACUUCAACUGACGCUGAGGCACGAAAGUGUGGGGAUCAAAC